UCCCUGGAAGACUAGUGGUUAGGCCUCGGUGCUCUCACCACUGUGGCCCAGGUUCGAUUCCUAGCCAGGGAA
rnacentral:tRNA from 1 species